AACGGCUCACCAAGCCUACGACGGGUAGCCGGUCUGAGAGGAUGGCCGGCCACAAGGGCACUGAGACACGGGCCCUACUCCUACGGGAGGCAGCAGUGGGGGAUUUUGGACAAUGGGCGAAAGCCUGAUCCAGCGACGCCGCGUGCGGGAUGAAGCCCUUCGGGGUGUAAACCGCUGUGGUGGGAGACGAAUAAGGUAAGGAGUGGAAAGCCUUACCGAUGACGGUAUCCCACUAGAAAGCCCCGGCUAACUACGUGCCAGCAGCCGCGGUAAUACGUAGGGGGCAAGCGUUACCCGGAUUCACUGGGCGUAAAGGGGGCGUAGGCGGCCGUGUAAGUCCGGUGUGAAAUGCCACGGCUCAACCGUGGAACUGCGCUGGAAACUACACGCUUGAGGACGGUAGAGGGAGACGGAACUGCUGGUGUAGGGGUGAAAUCCGUAGAUAUCAGCAGGAACGCCGGUGGGGAAGCCGGUCUCCUGGGCCGUUCCUGACGCUGAGGCCCGAAAGCUAGGGGAGCGAACCGGAUUAGAUACCCGGGU
rnacentral:rRNA from 1 species